GCGAGUGAAGCGGCAAAAGCUCAAAUUUGAAAUCUGGUACCUUCGGUGCCCGAGUUGUAAUUUGGAGAGGGCAACUUUGGGGCCGUUCCUUGUCUAUGUUCCUUGGAACAGGACGUCAUAGAGGGUGAGAAUCCCGUGUGGCGAGGAGUGCGGUUCUUUGUAAAGUGCCCUCGAAGAGUCGAGUUGUUUGGGAAUGCAGCUCUAAGUGGGUGGUAAAUUCCAUCUAAAGCUAAAUAUUGGCGAGAGACCGAUAGCGAACAAGUACAGUGAUGGAAAGAUGAAAAGAACUUUGAAAAGAGAGUGAAAAAGUACGUGAAAUUGUUGAAAGGGAAGGGCAUUUGAUCAGACAUGGUGUUUUGUGCCCUCUGCUCCUUGUGGGUAGGGGAAUCUCGCAUUUCACUGGGCCAGCAUCAGUUUUGGUGGCAGGAUAAAUCCAUAGGAAUGUAGCUUGCCUCGGUAAGUAUUAUAGCCUGUUGGAAAU
rnacentral:rRNA from 1 species